rnacentral:lncRNA from 1 species
UGGUGCUAAAUUAGAUCAUAGUGUGGUCCUUGGACCAACAGUAUCAAUAGCACCUGAAAAUCAUGCUGGAAAUACAGAUUCACAGGCUGCUCCCUAGAAUACUGAAGAAGAAACUCUAGGAGUGAGACCCAACAAUCUGUAUUUAACAAGUCCCCAGGUGAGUCUGAUGCACACAGAAAUGUGAGCUGCUGUAUUAGAUGGUGUUGAGUUCAUGCCACCGAAUCACUGACACACACGUCUGCUCACUGCUUGCUCUUUGCACAGGCCCCUGGAUCCUCCUGGAAUCCCCGAUCCCUCUUGCUCCCUGGCAGAGUUUUCUAGUCCCUCUUACUUGAAGCAUGUCUUUCAGAGCCCGGCACCACCCAUCUUGAGUAUCUGAUACCCCAUCAGCCUGAGUCUCUUAAAGGCCUUUAUACACAUAUGUCUACACAUAGGGAUUUGGAUGAUCUCGGGAUCCCACAUCCUCGCUGUCCCCUGUCCCCCCGCAACAUCCCCCACCAAUACCUUUCUGAAGUUUUCUAGUCCCUCCUUUUUGUUUGUGCUCCUUAAAGCCCAGCCCCAUGCCUGACUUUGGUUCCCAGUGAGCAUUGUACAUUUGUGGAUAUUAAAUCUUUGGCAAAGUCAUUUACCUGGGCUGGAAUAGGGCUCUUGGCUGAUUCUUUUUCCUAAACACCCACCCAAUGGGAGAGGCUGAUACUCAACAUGCAAACCUUGUGUUUUAUUUCUCCAGGCGAAGGGAUGUUGGAAGACAUUCUGGAAGGGGUGGGGUGUGAAGAUUUACAAAUAAUCUUUGAAUAUCUGCUUCAUGAUAGGUCUUGGAGGUGCCUUGUGGGUGUGGCUUUGGGGGGAUGGUUACGAGGAAAUUGUGGAUAUUAAGGAAGUCAGGAAAGGAAAAGAUCAGUCACAAUUCAACAAUUCAGAGAAAGCUCCUAAGGGACUUUCUGGCUGCUUGAUGCCCAGAGGCCAGGCCCUCACUUCGUA